rnacentral:lncRNA from 1 species
GCAGACCUUCCAACGCUUCACUUCAAAAUGUUCUCUGUACGCAAAUUAACUUCAAAUAUAUUUGUAUCAAUAUUUCUGUCAAUUUUCGUCCUAUUUGUGCAAAAAUGGAUACUGCCGAGACCCAAAAAGAGUAACAAUUAAAAUAUAAUUUAAAUAUUGAAACAAUAACGAAGGCCAACAGCUCAGACCUUGUCCCUCUGUAACUUUGUAUGGCAAAAGCUAUUAACAGUUCGAAAAUUGUACAAAUCCCCAAAGCGAGUUUCAACUUUAGACAUCAAAGUUUGGAAUGCAACUAAAACCCAAUUAGUUGCCACACCACAUAGCCCUCUGCCUCACCUUACAUGGCAUGUAAUUCCAUGAGCAUGUCCCAAAAACUAAGCAAAAACAAAGCCAAAGCUCAAGUCAAGGCUGCUGUUCUGCCGCUUCUCAUUUCGAGUCAAUAAAUAUUGAACCCCAAGCGGGGAAACAAGUUGCUCUGCGAAGUGAGUUUUAUUUGGC